AGUGAACGCUGGCGGUAGGCCUAACACAUGCAAGUCGAACGGCAGCACAGUAAGAGCUUGCUCUUACGGGUGGCGAGUGGCGGACGGGUGAGGAAUACAUCGGAAUCUACUUUUUCGUGGGGGAUAACGUAGGGAAACUUACGCUAAUACCGCAUACAACCUACGGGUGAAAGCAGGGGAUCUUCGGACCUUGCGCGAUUGAAUGAGCCGAUGUCGGAUUAGCUAGUUGGCGGGGUAAAGGCCCACCAAGGCGACGAUCCGUAGCUGGUCUGAGAGGAUGAUCAGCCACACUGGAACUGAGACACGGUCCAGACUCCUACGGGAGGCAGCAGUGGGGAAUAUUGGACAAUGGGCGCAAGCCUGAUCCAGCCAUACCGCGUGGGUGAAGAAGGCCCUCGGGUUGUAAAGCCCUUUUGUUGGGAAAGAAAAGCAGCAGGUUAAUACCCCGCUGUUCUGACGGUACCCAAAGAAUAAGCACCGGCUAACUUCGUG
rnacentral:rRNA from 1 species